GUAGAGGUAGCGUAGUGGUAGAGUGCGCGUCUGUGAUGUAGGAGGUCGUGGGUUCGAAUCCCCGGCGCCCCU
rnacentral:tRNA from 1 species